GAUAGUGAGUUGCAGUUUAGUGUUGAGUAAUCCUUGUCACAGUGUUUCUGUGCCACCUCAGUUUAGUCCUAUCUUAGUUUAUAUUUCAUAGUCAAGUCCUAGUUCAUAGUUUUGUCUCCGAGUCAUCAGACCUCGCUUCAUGUCUUUUGGAUCCUGCCUAGCCUAGUGUUUCUGCACCUCUGCCUUCACGUGUAUGACCACAGCUUUGAAUAAAAACUACACCUAACAUCAUGUCCUCAUCUUGGAGUCCUCCAUUUGGGUCCAGCCCUGCACUGGAGAAAAUGACCCUGGGCUAAUGAAGAGGAAGGCGAUGGAGAAAAUGUGGAACGCUUUGAAAAGCCCCCGUGGUGCCCCGUGACCCGCUCGAACCUCGGCUCGCUGAAAAAUUCAAUCUGAGCGCCGUGAUGUAUCCCCGCAAUACCGUGCCACGCCAUUACAGACUAAAAUGCGCGCCCACCCCCCGUUCCGCACGCGCACGCAGGCUCGCGCGCGAAAAGCAAACAAAAAGAAAACGUGACAAGGGCGUUUUCUUUGCAAAAGCCGGUCUGCAGAGGGAUGUGAUUGCGAGUGGAUUCAGGGGCACCAUCGUCUCAGGCCAAUCAUCAAUAAUUCAUUUUUCCAAGGCAUACAGUAAUAUCUCAACCUGCCUUCUAUUUUAUCAAAGUGAACAAAGAAAUGGAAUUUUGUA